UAUUCUUUGCCUUAGAUUAUUUUGUAAGAAGGUUUUUAUCAAGUGACGAAGUUAGAUUGCAAGAUGAAAUCAAAUAUAUCUAUUUCUUGGAGCAUCAUAAUGCCAUCACAGAAGAUUGAAAGUGGGCAUACUGUCACGGUGCAUGAUGUAGCAAUGGAUUACUAUGGUAAGCGUCUGGCAACAGCUUCUUCAGACUGCACCAUUAAGAUAACAGGGGUUAGCAGCUCGUCCUCGCAGCAACUGGCUACUUUAAGUGGUCACCAAGGACCAGUGUGGCAAGUAGCUUGGGCUCACCCUAAGUUUGGGUCAAUCCUCGCUUCCUGUUCUUCUGAUGGGAAGGUAAUUAUUUGGAAGGAAGGCGCUCAAAAUGAGUGGAGCUUAGCACAUGUUUUUGAUGACCAUAAAGCUUCAGUCAAUUCCAUAGCUUGGGCUCCUCAUGAGUUGGGACUUUGUUUGGCUUGUGGAUCUUCUGAUGGGAACAUUUCGGUUUUCACUGCAAGAUCAGACGGUGGUUGGGAGACAUCACGGAUCGAUCAGGCUCAUCCAGUUGGUGUUACAUCUGUUUCCUGGGCGCCAUCGAUGGCUCCUGGCUCUCUUGUAGGCUCCGAUAUUCUUAAUCCUGUUCAGAAGCUUGCUUCUGGUGGCUGUGACAAUACAGUUAAAGUGUGGAAGCUGUUUAAUGGAACGUGGAAAAUGGAUUGCUUCCCGGCUCUUCAAAUGCACACUGAUUGGGUCAGGGACGUCGCUUGGGCCCCUAACUUGGGGCUACCAAAAACAACUAUCGCGAGUGCUUCUGAAGAUGGAAAGUAAUUAUAUGGACCGUGGCUAAGGAAGGCGAUCAAUGGAAGGGUAAAGUUUUGAAGGAUUUUGGUUCCCCCGUUUGGAGAGUAUCGUGGUCACUAACGGGAAACAUAUUGGCUGUGGCAGAUGGGAAUAACAAUGUGACAUUAUGGAACGAAGCAGUAGAUGGCGAAUGGCAACCACUGACAACAGUAGAUUCAUAAAGUUAAACACA